GUCUCUGUGUUGAAAUCGGUUAGCGCGUACGGCUGUUAACCAAAAGGUCGGUGGUUCAAGCCCACCCAGGGACG
rfam:Nematostella vectensis strain CH2 x CH6 NEMVEscaffold_142_Cont15278, whole genome shotgun sequence.